rnacentral:rRNA from 1 species
AACGUAGGACACAAGCGUUAUCCGGAGUUACUGGGCGUAAAGGGCGUGUAGGCGGCCUGCUAAGUCGGACGUGAAAUCCCUCGGCUCAACCGAGGAACUGCGUCCGAUACUGGUGGGCUUGAAUCCGGGAGAGGGAUGUGGAAUUCCAGGUGUAGCGGUGAAAUGCGUAGAUAUCUGGAGGAACACCGGUGGCGAAGGCGGCAUCCUGGACCGGUAUUGACGCUGAGGCGCGAAAGCUAGGGGAGCAAACGGG